rnacentral:rRNA from 1 species
CCUACGGGAGGCAGCAGUGGGGGAUAUUGCACAGUGGGGGAAACCCUGAUGCAGCGACGCCGCGUGGGUGAAGAAGCGCCUCGGCGCGUAAAGCCCUGUCAGCAGGGAAGAAAAUGACGGUACCUGAAGAAGAAGCCCCGGCUAACUACGUGCCAGCAGCCGCGGUAAUACGUAGGGGGCAAGCGUUAUCCGGAUUUACUGGGUGUAAAGGGGGCGCAGACGGCGAUGCAAGCCAGGAGUGAAAGCCCGGGGCCCAACCCCGGGACUGCUCUUGGAACUGCGUGGCUAGAGUGCAGGAGGGGCAGGCGGAAGUCCUGGUGUAGCGGUGAAAUGCGUAGAUAUCAGGAGGAACACCGGUGGCGAAGGCGGCCUGCUGGACUGCAACUGACGUUGAGGCCCGAAAGCGUGGGGAGCAAACAGGAUUAGAUACCCCAGUAGUC